AUUGAACGCUGGCGGCAUGCCUUACACAUGCAAGUCGAACGGAUUCUUGGGGGCUUGCUCCAAGAGUUAGUGGCGAACGGGUGAGUAAUGCAUCGGAACGUGCCCAAUCGUGGGGGAUAACGUAGCGAAAGUUACGCUAAUACCGCAUACGUCCUGAGGGAGAAAGCAGGGGACUCGCAAGAGCCUUGCGCGAAUGGAGCGGCCGAUGUCGGAUUAGCUAGNGGCGGGGUAAAGCCCACCAAGGCGACGAUCCGUAGCUGGUCUGAGAGGACGACCAGCCACACUGGGACUGAGACACGGCCCAGGCUCCUACGGGAGGCAGCAGUGGGGAAUUUUGGACAAUGGGCGAAGCCUGAUCCAGCCAUGCCGCGUGAGUGAAGAAGGCCU
rnacentral:rRNA from 1 species